rnacentral:rRNA from 1 species
AACGAACGCUGGCGGCAUGCCUAGCACAUGCAAGUCGAACGAGACCUUCGGGUCUAGUGGCGCACGGGUGCGUAACGCGUGGGAACCUGCCCUUAGGUUCGGAAUAACUCCCCGAAAGGGGUGCUAAUACCGGAUAAUGUCUUCGGACCAAAGAUUUAUCGCCUUUGGAUGGGCCCGCGUUGGAUUAGCUAGUUGGUAGGGUAAAAGCCUACCAAGGCGACGAUCCAUAGCUGGUCUGAGAGGAUGAUCAGCCACACUGGGACUGAGACACGGCCCAGACUCCUACGGGAGGCAGCAGUGGGGAAUAUUGGACAAUGGGCGAAAGCCUGAUCCAGCAAUGCCGCGUGAGUGAUGAGGGCCUUAGGGUUGUAAAGCUCUUUUACCCGGGAUGAUAAUGACAGUACCGGGAGAAUAAGCUCCGGCUAACUCCGUG